rnacentral:rRNA from 1 species
CAGCAGCCACGGUAAUACGUAGGGUGCGAGCGUUAAUCGGAAUUACUGGGCGUAAAGCGUGCGUAGGUGGUGGUUUAAGUCCGUUGUGAAAGCCCUGGGCUCAACCUGGGAAUUGCAGUGGAUACUGGGUCACUAGAGUGUGGUAGAGGAUAGUGGAAUUUCCGGUGUAGCAGUGAAAUGCGUAGAGAUCGGAAGGAACAUCUGUGGCGAAGGCGACUAUCUGGGCCAACACUGACACUGAGGCACGAAAGCGUGGGGAGCAAACAGGAUUAGAUACCCGCGUAGUCCCUGUCUCUUAUAA